CACUUCAAUGAGUAAUCCAACCAUAUUGUUUCAGUUAUGCAAGAUGCUUUAAUUUCAUAUUUGAUUUCAGUUAGAAGAAAUAAGGCUAAAUAUGUUUACAUUAUGACGUAUUCCCGUAUAUUACAGUUUGUCUUUUUAUAUUAUAUUAUAAUAUUUUAGUUUGUCUCUUUGGGAAGAAAGCUUCAGUAACUUAAAGUUAAUGUUUUACAAUGUUUCAUUUUAUUACAUUUGUCUAUAAACUAAUGCCCAAAUAUAAACAUUGAGAAGCACUUUAAGAGGGAUACAUGUAAAAACCUUCUAACUUGGCAAAAGUCAUCAUCACAGAGUAAAAAUACAAAUACUGUCCAAGUCCUCUGUGAUUGAUAAACGUCUAAAUGUGUUUGUUUUCACCCAAAAGAGGGCGUUCAUCUCUUUUCUGUAUCCCUCAUGCACACAAUGAGCUCAAGACUCGUCCUGGAAGGUGAAAUUUUGCCACAGGGUGGAGCUCCAGACUUAAAUCACAGUGUUUCAGUCAAGAAAAGGAACAUUUAAGUCAUUUCAUUCCAUCAUGCUGCUCUGUGCACUUGUGAUAUUUUCAGUACUUGCAGGAGUCUCUCUUGGUGAUCUAAUAACUUCGCAUGAUUCUGAAAAACAAGCUCAAGAUGGUAACAGUGUUGCUCUCUACUGCAACUACACUGGUUCUGUGUAUAAUCUGCUGUGGUAUCGUCAGUAUCAAAGAUCCAAACCAGAACUGCUUCUCUACAUGACUGAAUCUGGAGAUCCAGUUAAAGCCGAUCCAUCAGCACACUGGUUAUCAGCUACAGUUGACAAAAAUAGAAAGCUCAUGGAACUGAAAAUCAGCCCUGCUAAAGUAUCAGACUCUGCACAGUAUUACUGUGCCCUGGUGCCCACAGUGACAGGAAACCCUUUUCCUCUGCACAAAAUCUUUUUCCAUCAGUAA